rnacentral:rRNA from 1 species
UACGUAGGGUGCGAGCGUUAAUCGGAAUUACUGGGCGUAAAGCGUGCGUAGACGGUUAUGUAAGUCAGGUGUGAAAGCCCCGGGCUCAACCUGGGAAUUGCAUUUGAGACUGCAUAGCUAGGGUGCGGAAGAGGGAAGCGGAAUUUCCGGUGUAGCGGUGAAAUGCGUAGAUAUCGGAAGGAACAUCAGUGGCGAAAGCGGCUUCCUGGUCCAGCACCGACGUUCAGGCACGAAAGCGUGGGGAGCAAACAGG